UUUCAUCCUUGCUAUUCAUCGUCACAUGAUGCACCAGCCGGGAAUCAAACCCGGGUCUGUACCGUGGCAGGGUACUAUUCUACCACUAGACCACUAGUGCUUCAAUAAGUAGGCAUAUCCAUAACGUUCUCGUAUUUUAGUCAUGCAGU